AUUGAACGCUGGCGGCAUGCCUUACACAUGCAAGUCGAACGGUAACAGGUCUUCGGAUGCUGACGAGUGGCGAACGGGUGAGUAAUACAUCGGAACGUGCCUAGUAGUGGGGGAUAACUACUCGAAAGAGUGGCUAAUACCGCAUGAGAUCUACGGAUGAAAGCAGGGGAUCGCAAGACCUUGUGCUACUAGAGCGGCCGAUGGCAGAUUGGGUAGUUGGUGGGAUAAAAGCUUACCAAGCCGACGAGCUGUAGCUGGUCUGAGAGGACGAUCAGCCACACUGGGACUGAGACACGGCCCAGACGCCUACGGGAGGCAGCAGUGGGGAAUUUUGGACAAUGGGCGCAAGCCUGAUCCAGCAAUGCCGCGUGCAGGAUGAAGGCCUUCGGGUUGUAAACUGCGUUUGUACGGAACGAAAAGCCCUGGGUUAAUACCCUGGGGUCAUGACGGUACCGUAAGAAUAAGCACCGGCUAACUACGUGCCAGCCGCCGCCGUAAAAC
rnacentral:rRNA from 1 species